rnacentral:rRNA from 1 species
GACGAACGCUGGCGGCGUGCCUAAUACAUGCAAGUCGAACGAGAGCGACCGGUGCUUGCACUGGUCAAUCUAGUGGCGAACGGGUGAGUAACACGUGGGUAACCUGCCCAUCAGAGGGGGAUAACAUCCGGAAACGGAUGCUAAAACCGCAUAGGUCUUCGAACCGCAUGGUUUGAAGAGGAAAAGAGGCGCAAGCUUCUGCUGAUGGUUGUACCCGCGGUGCAUUAGCUAGUUGGUGAGGUAACGGCUCACCAAGGCCGUGAUGCAUAGCCGACCUGAGAGGGUGAUCGGACACAUUGGGACUGAGACACGGCCAAAACUCCUACGGGAGGCAGCAGUAGGGAAUCUUCCGCAAUGGACGCAAGUCUGACGGAGCAACGCCGCGUGAGUGAAGAAGGUUUUCGGAUCGUAAAACUCUGUUGUUAGAGAAGAACAAGUGCUAGAGUAACUGUUAGCGCCUUGACGGUAUCUAACCAGAAAGCCACGGCUAACUACGUG